ACGUAUAUGACAAAUAAAAUAACACUGCAAGCAAUUAUUCCAGACCCUUUUGCUAACGCGAUUCGACCAGCCACACAGAUAGAGAUAUAUAGAGAGAGACGAGAGUGCAAGUGGAGAUUCUAAACACAGCGAUCCCGUGGUUUCUAUCACUUUCUCCUGAUGUCGUUGUACAUUGGUAAUCUAUCAUCUCGCACUCGUAAAGAUGAACUUGAGCGUGUCUUCCAAAGGUUUGGACGAUGCAGCGUACGUUUCAAAGAUGGGUAUGGAUUUGUGGUAUAUGAUUUCCCUCCAAAUGCAGAGAAAGCUUUGAGAGCACUACAAAAGAGGUACAUUUGUGGUGAGCCAUUAACUCUCACAUGGUCAAAUAAACAGCCCAGACCAUUUAAGAGAUCAUCAAGGACUGCUAGAUCAUAUGAGCCACAGCACAGCAGAGAUUCUUUGAGAGGAAAGCUUGUUAAAGGAAAGUUGGGUUCAAAUGAUCAGGAUAACAGGAUGAGUAUUAAGCGAUCAAAUGGUAUUCGGAGACAGCAUGGUUCAAGUGAUAUGCAUGAUAAAGAGGUGGCCUACUGUGAGGAUAAUGCCAAAAAAAACUUGGCAGAAGAGCGUCAUGGCUAUAGGGAAGAUAUUGUCGAUGAAGGUGGUAGGUUUGAACCUGACCCAGUAGACAAUGACAGAUGGGAUGAGCAAUUCAAUGUUCGACCAAGUGAAAAUGGUGGCGAAAAUGAUAUAGAAUUUGACAGGUAUGAACCUUACCAAGGUUGUGACAGGAAAUAUGAUGAUGAAAUCCAUCAGGUGGCCUAUGCUGGUGGUUGUUCUGAUCCACAAAGCUCCCCAAAGGGUGUAGGUCGAGAUCAAGUUGAUGAAUUGAAGUUGAAGCAACCUAGUGAAUCAAAAGUCCAGUUAACUUGCUACAGAUGUGGAGGUUUUGGUCACAAGAUGCGCAAUUGUCCCCAGUUAAAUACUUCAUUGAGAAAGUCCACCAGGUUUGAUCUUAGGCAUGAUGAUGAUAUCAAUAGGAAAGGUAGAGGUGAAAGUGAGCUGGGAAUAUUUGGAUCCAGUUCACAGGAACGGCUGCGGUCAAGUGGGGAUGCAGUACCAAAAAGGCAACUCAAGAAUGAUGUGCAAUCACAUGACUUAAGAAAACAUCAAAGUUUAAGUGGUGGAAGCUCCCCUGUGGGGCAGAAAACUGAUAAGUCUCGAAAAAAGCACCAUGAACGAAAUAAGCGAACUAGGAAGGAAACCAGAUCUCCAAAAAGAUACAGUGCAAAGAGAGUAAGAAGGUCAUAUUCAUCUCCUCCCCGAUCUGAUUACACUGCAUCUCGAUCUCACUCAGCUCGUCAAUCUUCUGAUCAUGUGAAAAGGUCUGGUUCCCAAUCUAGAUCAAGGUCAGUAUCUUCCAGAGCAGAUUCAUUGUUGUCUGAAUCUAGGUCUAGUUCAACAUCACUUUAUUCUAGAUCCAAAAGCUCCAAGUAUAGGGCAAGGUCAAGCUCCCGCUCACCUUUGUCUGCCUCACUUGGUCAACCCUUACCAUCUUGUUCAAAUAAGGCCCAGUUUAAUCUGAAAGGAUGUUCAGAUAAUGCUACUACUCCAGAUUCCAAAGCAAUUUUGGUUGAGCAAGGGCAACCUGUAGCAUGUGAUAAUAGCUCAGACAAUGCAAAACUUGACAAUGGAAUGGUGGCAGUGAACGAUGAAAACUCAGUGCCUCAUUCCCAAGCGGAAAUUGAAAUGGAGAAAGACCAGCUUCUGGUGAAGGGUAAACAGGACUGCCAAAUGGCAUCUGCCUCAUUCUGUGAAGUAACAAAUCCAAACGCGUUGGCAGCAGAGAAGGGUGCAGUUCAUGCUGAGAGUUUUUCUCCAGAAAAAAUUGUAGAAAUGAACUGUGGAAAUUCUGAAGAGAUGACAGAGCAUGUGCAUGUUCCAAUUAAGAAUCUAGAUUCAGAAUCUCCUGUCUGUUCAUUGUCAGGUCAUUUGACAAGCCUUUCCUCAGAGGAUUUAUGCAUGGUUCUCAAGCAUUAUUAUGGUCUUGAUCUUCAAGAUGAAAAUGAAAAGCAAUUACCUGCUGACGCGUACUUUGGUUCUGCUCGCUUGUGGCCGUGGGAGGUUAUUUACUAUAGGAGGUUGAAGAAGGGUGCUAUUUCUGUUGAGAACUAUUCCAGGCGAGUUGAUCAGAAUAGGGAAUUUGGUAUAGUUGACAGAUAUAUCAGAAGUAGCAGUGGAUGGGAAGAAUUGGGCCCAGGGAUUCCUUGAAAGCUUUUUAUAGUUGGUUUUUUGUGGUUAGCUGUUUUAGAACUUAAGCAUGGCUGAACCUUUGAUACUUCAAUCCUUAUUAGAGUUAAUAUGCAAUAUCUAGUGGAUAAUUAAGGAGAAAUUUUGAUAAGGUUGGUAAUUUCUCAAUGCAGGAAAAAAAGGACAUAAUUUACAGGUCUUUCACAUAAUUUGUUAAGAAUUUGAGGAUUCCAUUUGACUUUUGUGCUCAGUUUAUGGUCAUAGGAGCAUCUUCUGCUCACUUUCUUUACAUGAAAAAAAUUGAUGGCCACCACUGUCAAGGCUCAAGAGUUCAUCAUAAACUCCAGCAGUCUAGCAUGAUAUUUUAAGUGUUUGCUAUGCUGAUGGGCUCCAUCAAGCUUUUCAAGAACUUCACUCUGUCUCGAGAGAGUAUGAAGGUGACUCUGACUGCCUUUAAGGCCAACAAGUCAGUAGCUGAUGUGACCAAAGAGGUUUUCCAGGCCACAGAUCUUGCAUCUUCAGCUCGUUGCUCUGCUCCUGCUCCUCCUCUAACUUUAAUGUUUGUAUCGAAGGGCUCUCGUUCAGCGACAUCCAGAAUGUUAGUCCCUCCAAAAGCGCCGGUUUCUUCCCAGGUUUCCCCUUAUUCAAAGGAAGUUUCUAAGGAGUCCAUCAUGCUUAGUGAGUCGGCUGAGAGCAGCUCGAAGGAGGGCAUCAGGACUGCUACCUUGGAUGUCCCACCCAUUCAAGCUGUAGGUGCUAUCAUAAUAGAAGGCAGGGCUGCUAAGCGUGCCCGGACUUUGGAACCUACAGGGGUAGUCGUUUCUUCUCCCAUUAAUAAGGGGAAAAAGGUAGUGAAACACUUGUCAUCUGCCCCGGACAAUGAGCUAUUGAAUGCCGCUGAGGUGACUGCUAAGUCUAUGGUAGCUUCUAUGGCCGGGAUGGUGUGUGAGAGGAUAUUUAGGGGGGUUCCCAGAUGCUUCUGAUCCCUGCUUCCUGGCCCUUGUCAGCCACUUAGCCUGUUAUACCAAAUAGCAGGCAGUCUUUAGCUGACACUCCUUGGAGGAUCUUAAGGAUGGUCUGAGGGAGAUAUUACUCGUGGUAAGUUAUUUGUCUUUCUUGAAAGUGUUUUUUUAUCUUCUAGCUUUCUUAACUUUACUUUUUCUUUUUUGUGGUAGGCUUUUGGCAUGUUUAUAGAGAUCGAUGCCCGAAACCAGUCUCUCCAGAGCUCGAUGGACCAGUGUAUUACUGAGGCACAUCGGGAUGAGAAUCUGGUUGCCACUAGUGAGGCUCGUGAGCACAUUAUUGAGUUUUGGGGUAAAUCAAGGACCUCACCAAGCAGUUAGGAGAGAUGAGGGAGGAGGUUGCCAGGGCUUCCCAACGAGCUUUUACGGUAGAAUUUCAGCGAGAUGAAGCCUUUGCACAACUAUCUACUUUGAAGGAGACCUGUCAUCAGCGCGACGAGGCCUUGGCUCAUGCUACUGUCCUCCAGCAGUAGCUCAACAAAUACAUCAAAGACUUGAAGGGCAUGACUUUAGCAGCGGAGGAGUCCUGGCUUCAGUAGAGGCAACUCUGCCAAGAGGUUUCUGCCCUGGAGGAGAGGUGUGCUUCUUUACUAAGGAAUGCCCGGGCUAUAGAGAAUAGGGUUCAGCAGUCCUGUGAAUUGCAGUUGCAGGAGUACAAGGACUCUGCAGAGCUGAAGGAGAAAAUUCAACAGCGUGGUUGGAGGAGUACAAGUGCUCGACGGAGCUAAAGGAAAGAAUAUAUAAGGAGACCUUUCGCAUGUUCGCUUCAGGCUUCAACUAAGGCUUCAAAGCAGCUCGUGAUGCCCCCUCCACUCCGUUGGCUGACCUGCAAGCCUCCGAACUCGAUUCUGAUGGCGAGGAGGUCUGCUACGGAGAGGACGACAAUUCUCUACUCAAGAACCCUCCUUCCUUGUUCCCUGGACUGCAGGAGGGUAAUCGUGUAAAUGACCUAGUUAAUUAUACUCCUCCUUUCCUUGCUGCUUUUGUAACCCAUUCUAACGGUGUAGGGAAGGAAUGAUUGUAUUAAUAAAAUUUUGAACUUUUUUAUUAUUUUUCCAUUGUUUGCUUUUAUUUUUCUUGUCCAUUCGAAUUUCAUUUGUAUUUUCAUAUUUAGAUUAUUUUUUGUGUAUGUUAUUUGUGAGCUGUGCUGAGCUAGCUACUUGUGUGAUAUUUUGCUUGUAAAAGCAUCCAACUUAUUGCAUUUUGUACUUUGUUUAUUGAAUGCCUUAGUUUUUUAUGCCUUCUGUUCCCCUGGAGCCUUUAGAUGGUCGGAUUGUGAGCUCUUACUCCAGGUUGAUUUAGCUCCAAAGACUAGUUUUUUGAUUUUUUUUUUUUGUUAUUACCCUAGUUUUCAUGCAGCUCUCUGUCUUGGUUCAUAUUGUCCCAAAGUUGUACCUUUUCCUUACGAGGGAAGAAGAAACAGUGUCUUGGGGGACUAGUGUCCAUUUCUGGAGUCAGUACCUGGACUUAGUUUUAUUUCAGUUUUGCCUUGGGGGUGUCAAGGUCUUUUUUAAGGCCGGCAUCACGCCUUAACCUUAUCUCUCCUUAUACCUUAGUGGUGCUGAGCUCUUUUUUAAGCUCGACACCAUGCCUUUAUUUUUCUUUGAGUCAAGCUCUCUUAGGAGGUCAAUAUUAUACCUUAACUUUAUUUUCCUUUAGGCUUUAGGGGUGCCGAGCUCUUUUUUGAGGUUGACACCAUGCCUUAACUUUAUUUCUCUUUGAGUCGAGCUCUCUUUGGAGGUCGGCACUAUGUCUUAACUUUAUUUUCCUUUAGACCUUAGGGGUGUCGAGGUCCUUUCUUGAGGUUAGCAUUGUAUCUCUGUUCCAUUUCUUUUGGCUUAUAGCCUUACUAGUAUGGGCCUUCAACAUGACCUUCAUCUCCUCAACCGGUUUUAUCGUAUCGACAGUCUUAUCCACCUUAUUGAGGUCUUCGUCUUUUCAACCGGUUUUAUGGUGCUGGUGGUCUUAUUCACCUCAUUGAAGCUUUCAUCUCCUCAAUCGAUUUUGUGGUGCAGACGGUCUUAUUUUCGAGACCGGUCACCCACCUCAU